rnacentral:rRNA from 1 species
UACGUAGGGUGCGAGCGUUAAUCGGAAUUAUUGGGCGUAAAGGGCGCGUAGGCGGUGCGGUAAGUCACCUGUGAAAUCUCCUGGCUCAACUGGGAGCUUGCAGGCGAAACUGCCGUGCUGGAGUGUGGGAGAGGUGCGUGGAAUUCCUGGUGUAGCGGUGAAAUGCGUAGAUGUCAGGAGGAACACCUGUGGCGAAAGCGGCGCACUGGACCACAACUGACGCUGAGGCGCGAAAGCUAGGGGAGCAAACGGG